rfam:Mycoplasmataceae bacterium RC_NB112A Contig_11, whole genome shotgun sequence.
GGGAGUUUGUCGGAGCGGUUUAACGAGCCACUCUGGAAAGGUGAGCCUGCGAUUUGCAGACGGAGGUUCGAAUCCUCCAGCUCUCG